AAUUGAAUAUUGGAAAUAGGUGCUUACCUGCUGCAAGCGUGUACAGGCAAGCUUAAAAGGGAAGUUCGGUGUAAAACCGACGCGGUCCCGCCACUGUCAUGGUUGAGUCACCGCAAGACGCCACUGGUUGAGUUUCAACCGGGAAGGCUGCUGGUGACGAUGAGACCUAUAGCCAGGAGACCUGCCUGUUUCAACAGCGCUGU
rnacentral:ncRNA from 2 species